ensembl:lncRNA
UGACGGUGUGGUGUGUAGGUUCCUAUCGUUAUUGCUUCCGUUGUUGGCCUGGGGCGCCGCGGAUGACCCUACAUAGCCCUUGGCCGGCCACCGGGAAGAUUGCGUCUCGUACUGACGAUCGUAACAAAGACGCACCGUGCUUUCCUUCUGAGGGUUUAGUAGCCCUAAUACGUGCAGCAGACUAGUCAUGUGGAAGUUUGUCUGCUGAAAGUAAGCGCCCUCCCGGGAGGAUGUGUUGAACUUUUGGGAAGGUUGGUGACUAAACUCUGCUUGUGCUAACUGCCCAGCAAUGACUCAGUUGAGGUAAGAGGUGGGCUGGACCCACUGGAGCGUGCUCAGAUGGGAUGUACGUGGCUGCCUUGAAGAUGCUGUCCUAGAACAGCACCACAGGCCUGGCUCGGCUUUGCCUGUGACAUUGGGGCAAAGAGCAAGUGGCUAUUUCUACGCUCAGUGUUCAGAAGCCAGUGAGCACUAAGAAUGGUUUGUAGCCUGACAUUUUGCAGAGCCACAGUGGAAUGGCACUGGGGUUUGGCUUUGCUGUUGGCCAGAUGCCAAGCCUCUAGGGCUCACCAAAGGGUCACAUGGUCAGCAUUUUAGCAAGACAGAACUUUGGAGGUGUGUGUGAGUUUUCUAGGAGACCUUCUGAGAAGCUGGGAAAAUACAAGAAAUUAUCCGUCCUUUCUUCAUCUUCCAGAUCCAGAAGCCAGGAAGAAGGAAGGGGGCCUACUUAUUGGCCAAGAUGGCUGAUCGGGAUGAGUGCAGAUAUGAUUUUAGGCCGUGGGCCUGAGGUAUGUCCUCUGACCUCACCAGUGUCCUACAGAACUCCCCAUAUGGCUUUGGGCAGCUCUGAACUUAACUCUGGUAGCCAGCCUAUGUCUUAAGUUGUGGACUGGAUUUGGGUUGGCCUGGGUUUGACUGGUCUGUGUGUGGUAGUGGCACUGGAGAUGGGGAACCUCUAAAACUCAACAUCUCUACCUGACUGUACACGGUCUUAAAAGAUAUAAUUAUGAGUUGGGG